UGCAGAUUGCAAAUUCGGUGCCACGAAUAUGUUUCUUAUCUGGUCUUACGGGGGAAGAAAUGAUGAUGAUUAGAACCUGCUGUAUUUGCAGCUCUUGUUCCCAACAGCGCUGAUAAACCGCUACAAGAGUUGAUUGAGGAGAUUAUGGGAGACCAUGAAAUGCUUUCUGCAAAGCGAUCGGGCUAGGCAUUGCCAAAUGCAGAUUAG